rnacentral:rRNA from 1 species
CCCUUAGAUGUCCUGGGCCGCACGCGCGCUACACUGAUGCAUGCAACGAGUUUAUAACCUUGGCCUGAAAGGUCUGGGUAAUCUUUUGAACGUGCAUCGUGAUAGGGAUAGAUUAUUGCAAUUGUUAAUCUUGAAUGAGGAAUUCCUAGUAAACGCGAGUCAUCAGCUCGCAUUGAUUACGUCCCUGCCCUUUGUACACACCGCCCGUCGCACCUACCGAUUGAAUGGUUCGGUGAAGAUCUCGGACUUCGAUAUUUAUUCUUUAUUGAGUUUAUAUUGUGGGAAGUUAUCUAAACCUCAUCAUUUAGAGGAAGGUGAAGUCGUAACA